CCCAGACUCCUACGGGAGGCAGCAGUGGGGAAUAUUGCACAAUGGGGGAAACCCUGAUGCAGCGACGCCGCGUGAGUGAAGAAGUAUUUCGGUAUGUAAAGCUCUAUCAGCAGGGAAGAAAAUGACGGUACCUGACUAAGAAGCCCCGGCUAACUACGUGCCAGCAGCCGCGGUAAUACGUAGGGGGCAAGCGUUAUCCGGAUUUACUGGGUGUAAAGGGAGCGUAGACGGCAUGGCAAGGCAGAUGUGAAAGCCCGGGGCUCAACCCCGGGACUGCAUUUGAAACUGUUUGUCUUGAGUACAGGAGAGGCAGGCGGAAUUCCUAGUGUAGCGGGGAAAUGCGUAGAUAUUAGGAGGAACACCAGUGGCGAAGGCGGUCUGCUGGACAUCAACUGACGCUGAGGCGCGAAAGCGUGGGGAGCAAACAGGAUUAGAUACCCCCGUA
rnacentral:rRNA from 1 species